rnacentral:rRNA from 1 species
AGUAAACUAGGAGGAAGGUGGGGGAGUGACGUCAAAUCAUCAUGCCCCUUAUGACCUGGGCUACAAACGUGAUACAAUGGCUGAAACAAAGGGACAGCGAAGCAGUGAUGUGAAGCGAAACCCAAAAAAGACAGUCUCAGUUCGGAUUGAAGUCUGCAACUCGACUUCAUGAAGUCGGAAUCGCUAGUAAUCGCGAAUCAGAACGUCGCGGUGAAUACGUUCUCGGGGUUU